AUUGAACGCUGGCGGCAUGCUUUACACAUGCAAGUCGAACGGUAACAGGGAGCUUGCUCCGCUGACGAGUGGCGAACGGGUGAGUAAUGCGUCGGAACGUGCCGAGUAGUGGGGGAUAACGCAUCGAAAGGUGUGCUAAUACCGCAUACGUACUGAGGUAGAAAGUGGGGGACCUCGGGCCUCACGCUAUUCGAGCGGCCGACGUCUGAUUAGCUAGUUGGUGAGGUAAAGGCUCACCAAGGCGACGAUCAGUAGCGGGUCUGAGAGGAUGAUCCGCCAAACUGGGACUGAGACACGGCCCAGACUCCUACGGGAGGCAGCAGUGGGGAAUUUUGGACAAUGGGCGCAAGCCUGAUCCAGCCAUGCUGCGUGUCUGAAGAAGGCCUUCGGGUUGUAAAGGACUUUUGUCCGGGAGCAAAUGCUGGUGGCUAACAUCCACCGGAGCUGAGAGUACCGGAAGAAUAAGCACCGGCUAACUACGUGCCAGCCGCCGCCGUAAAAC
rnacentral:rRNA from 1 species